UUAAGCGAUGGGGUGACGCAGGAAGGUAGUCCAGCCCAGGCGAUGGUUGUCCUGGGGUAAGCAUGUAGGGAGCGAGGUAGGUAAAUCCGCCUCGUAUGUAUCCUGAGAUGUGAUGCCGAGCCGAUUGUGGUGAAGUGGAUGAUCCUAUGCUGCCGAGAAAAGCCUCUAGUGAGUGUUGUGGCGGCCCGUACCCUAAACCGACUCAGGUGGUCAGGUAGAGAAUACCAAGGCGAUCGGGUGAACUGUGGUUAAGGAACUCGGCAAAUUGCCCCCGUAACUUCGGGAGAAGGGGGACCUCUGCUGGUGAUGGGCUUUACGUUCUGAGCUGGUGGGGGUCGCAGUGGCCAGGGGGAAGCGACUGUUUACUAAAAACACAGGUCCGUGCGAAGUCGUAAGACGAUGUAUACGGACUGACGCCUGCCCGGUGCCGGAACGUUAAGGGGACCGCUUAGCCAACGCGAGUUGGCGAAGGUGAGAACUUAAGCGCCGGUAAACGGCGGUGGUAACUAUAACCAUCCUAAGGUAGCGAAAUUCCUUGUCGGGUAAGUUCCGACCUGCACGAAUGGCGUAACGACUUCCCCGCUGUCUCAACCACAGACCCGGCGAAAUUGCACUACGAGUAAAGAUGCUCGUUCCGCGCAGCAGGACGGAAAGACCCCGGGACCUUCACUACAGCUUGACAUUGGCGUUUGGAACGUCUUGUGUAGGAUAGGUGGGAGACUGGGAGGCUGUCACGCUAGUGAUGGUGGAGUCAUUGGUGAAAUACCACUCUGGUCGUUUUGAACGUCUAACUCUGGUCCGUGAUCCGGAUCGGGGACAGUGUCUGGUGGGUAGUUUAACUGGGGCGGUUGCCUCCUAAGAGUAACGGAGGCGCCCAAAGGUUCCCUCAGCCUGGUUGGCAAUCAGGUGUUGAGUGUAAGUGCACAAGGGAGCUCGACUGUGAGACUGACAGGUCGAGCAGGAGCGAAAGCUGGGACUAGUGAUCCGGCAUCGGCGUGUGGAAGCGGUGUCGCUCAACGGCUAAAAGGUACCCCGGGGAUAACAGGCUGAUCUUCCCCAAGAGUCCAUAUCGACGGGAUGGUUUGGCACCUCGAUGUCGGCUCGUCGCAUCCUGGGGCUGGAGUAGUCCCAAGGGUUGGGCUGUUCGCCCAUUAAAGCGGUACGCGAGCUGGGUUUAGAACGUCGCGAGACAGUUCGGUCCCUAUCCGCUGCGCGCGCAGGAGACUUGAAGGGGGCUGUCCCUAGUACGAGAGGACCGGGACGGACGAACCUCUGGUGUGCCAGUUGUACCGCCAGGUGCACGGCUGGUUGGCUACGUUCGGAGGGGAUAACCGCUGAAAGCAUCUAAGCGGGAAGCUCGCCUUGAGAUGAGGUCUCCCACCCCGUGAGGGGGUAAGGCUCCCGGUAGAUCACCGGGUUGAUAGGCCGGAGGUGGAAGCACGGUAACGUGUGGAGCUGACCGGUACUAAUAGGCCGAGGACUUGACCG
rnacentral:rRNA from 1 species